rnacentral:lncRNA from 1 species
UCGACAGGGGGGAGGGUGAAAAGCAGCUCUCUUUUUAUAAAGAACGUGGAAAAUUGCUAACCCCCCUUGUCCCCCUGUUUCUUUCCCCCGGCUUUGACUAUUAUACCCUCCCUCAUAAUUAUUUUUCAUCCUUUCCCCAAAACAGUCAAAUUAACCCCUGCUCUUUUUGUUUCUUUUUUCAAACCUGCUUUGUUUUAGUCAAUUUUGUUUAUGCAUUUUUUUAAUCAGUUUUGUGUAUUUUUUUUUUUAGUUUUGUUUCUUCUUGUUUUUCAUUAGUCUUUUUUUAAUCAGUUCGUAUUAUUUUUUUAAGUUUUGGUUUUAUGUUUUUAGUAGAUUUUUUUAAUCAGCUUUAUAUUUUUAUCAAAAAAUUAUUAUUUUUUAUUCAAUUUUUUUAUAUUGUUCGUAUUCUUUUUAUUUUUGUUGGAGAUUUUGGAAGUGAUUAUUUACAAAUAUUAUAAAAAGUAUAUAUAUAAAAAUAAAAAAACUGACAAUUUUAAAACUUUAAAAUUGUCAGGAUUUUGUAUUUCAUAUAUGAUUUUUUUUUUUUGAUCUAUAUUUUAUAAUUUUUAUAAAUAAUAACUCCUAAAAUCUACAACGAAAAAAUAUAAACAAAAGAAUUACAAUAAUAAAAAAAUAUUUAGGUCCAAAAAAAAAAAAAAAAAGUAAACCGGAUAAAGAAAAAAAUAAAAUCUUAUAAAAAAAUAAUAAUUAAAAAAAUUAAAAAAUUAAAAAAAAAUUAAAAAAGGGGGGAAGGGAAGGAGGAGUGGGGGAGGGGCACGGGUAAUUGUGGAGGGUGGGGCCCGGGGGGUUUGUGGCAGGGAGGGGUGGUGCGACGGAAAAGCAGUUGUCUUACCCGCUGAAUGCAGCCCUAGCCAGAGGUUUAGGAGCUAUAUAUCCGUUAUAAGUGAUUUUACUAUUGUUACCUAAAAAAGUAGUUAGGCGUUGGCUGGAGGAUAUAUGGGAGCGGAUAAACUUUUAGAGGGAGGAUAUAUAAAUUUUAGAGGGGGAUAACUUUAAUUUUGUUUGGAUACUUUUAGAAUGUGUGGAUAAUGGGUGGAGAUAAAGAGUAAAAUAAUAUAGAGAAACAAAAAAUGUAAAAUAUCUUGAUAUUAAAAAUAUAAUUUUAUUUUUUUUUAUAUAUAUAAAAAAAAAAUAUACAUUUUUUGGUUUUUUCUUUUUAUAUAUAGAUUUUUUCUUAUCCCCACCCUACCCCCGGAGAUAGAUUUAGUUAUGGUUAGGUCACCUAAAAAAAUAUCCGCCUCUAUUCACCUGGGGAAAAAAAAGGUUUAUCCGCCAACCAAACGGGGGGAAGAAAAAAAUUUAUCCAGAAAAAAAAGUUAUCCCCCUCUAAUCCUCAGACAAACCUUGCCCCAAGCUCCAAAAGGCUACGGCCGUUGUCUUUGCGGGUUUAUUAUUAUUUCAAAUUUUUACUCCCUAUUUUAUUAUAUUAACAUACAAAUUUUAUUUAUCAAAAAAAAGCUGCAAAAUUACAGUACAUUCACUCAAUUCAAUUAAUGUUUACUUAUACUAUGAUUGCACUCUUGUCAUCCUUGAGUAAGAUGGAUUUCCAGGACAGUGCAGGCAGGUAUCAUUUCUUGUGAAGGCUACGUUUACACCAGAUUCUUUCAGUUUUUUUUAGGUUUUUUAUUUAAAAUAAGUGUAAAAAAAAAUUAAGUAAAAUUAUUAUUAUUGUUUUUUGUAAUUUUAAUUUUAAAAUAAGGUUAAAAAUAAAUUUGACUUUUCAGCAUUACCAACGGAACCGGAGAAAGGAAGUAGAGUUUACAAACCUAAAUUAGUCAGAAAAAAAUAAAUAGGAGAGGUAUGGGAUCAUUUCUUCCUCUUUUGAAAUCUUAAAAUUUAGAAUUUUUUCGGACAGCUUAAAGCUUUUACAUUUUUCUGGACUACACCACACCAGUCCAACCACUUUGAAUUUAAUUUUAAUAAUUUUAAACUGUUCAAUUGUAGAUUACGUCGUUAAAGAUCGAUACUGUAAAAAUUAUUUUAAUAUAUACCAAAACGAUAGUCAUUCAGUAUUUUUUAUAACUUAAUAAAUGAGGUUGACACACAAGAUAUACUCAUUGAUCUUGAUAUAAAUUGAUAUAAUCGACUAUUGAUUUAUAUCCCAAUCAAAUGACUUGUACCAUAUAAAGUUUUUAAUGAGGUCUAUUAAUAUAGAAGGUUAAACAUCAAAAUGGACAAACAAAAAUAACUCAAAAUAUUUGAAUGCACCGGUACCAAUCCAAAAUUGGACGCAGAUAAGUCUCGUCCUUUUUUUAAUAACUCAACAUGGUCUAAGGAGCGACAAGUUGGGAAACUAAUUUCAUUAUCCAUUAUUAUAGGGAGGACCCAAUAAAAACUGUAUAAUAAACUUGUAGAAUUGUUCAAACUCAAGAAUUAAUAGCAGUAAGAAGAUUCCAAACAUUACAGACCAAACACCAAAUUUCAAACUUAAAACACUACCAAUUCGGGCUACCAAGUGAAUGAAAACUUAGUUAGAGAA